GUCAAGGUAGCUCAGAUGGUUAGAGCGUCGGAUUCAUAACCCGGAGGUCGGGAGUUCAAUUCUCCCCCUUGACACAA
rnacentral:tRNA from 1 species